GACGAACGCUGGCGGCGUGCUUAACACAUGCAAGUCGAACGGAAAGGCCCUGCUUUUGUGGGGUGCUCGAGUGGCGAACGGGUGAGUAACACGUGAGUAACCUGCCCUUUACUUUGGGAUAACUUCAGGAAACUGGGGCUAAUACCUGAUAGGUGCUCCUGCUGCAUGGUGGUGGUUGGAAAUUUUCGGCGGUUGGGGAUGGACUGGCGGCUUAUCAGCUUGUUGGUGGGGUAGUGGCUUACCAAGGCUUUGACGGGUAGCCGGCCUGAGAGGGUGACCGGCCACAUUGGGACUGAGAUACGGCCCAGACUCCUACGGGAGGCAGCAGUGGGGAAUAUUGCACAAUGGGCGGAAGCCUGAUGCAGCAACGCCGCGUGCGGGAUGAAGGCCUUCGGGUUGUAAACCGCUUCCGCCUGUGACGAAGCGUGAGUGACGGUAAUGGGUAAAGAAGCACCGGCUAACUACGUG
rnacentral:rRNA from 1 species